AGGACUGCCAUAUCGUGGCUCCAUCCUCCAAAUAUAGACGAGGAAGCCACGACCAUCGAAAGAAAAAUUGCUGCCCGCGCUCUUCUUCCUGCGCGCAUCUGGAGAGCAGAAAAGGAGGCGGGAGCAUCUCCCGCGAAAUCGCCGUCGUCGUCGCUCCACUCGCCGGCCAGAUAAAUGGAUAACUCACAGACGGAUGACAUUGGGUUUUUAGACAUGUUGAAUGGGGGAUCAGGUGAAGUGAAUUGGAGUGGCACACAAUAUUCUAUCCCAAUCAGUGAACAAGAGAAGAUGUCAACUCCGAAUGUUUCUGUUGUUUCUGCAUCUGCAUUUGCAAAAUCAAAACAAAAGAAGGCAAAAGCACCGUCGACAAAAGGGAAAAAUUGGUCUAGCGAUGAAGACAAGGUGUUGAUAGCGGCAUGGGGAAACACUAGUUUGGAUGCGGUGACCGGGACAGAUCAAAACUCAAGUUGUUAUUGGAAUAGGAUUUUAGAUUACUACAACUUGCAUAAGGACCCGUCAUGGCCCGAGCGUAAUUAUAAUGUAGUCAAUUGCCGUUUCACUGUUAUUUCAGCGGCCACAAGCAAGUUUUGUGGAUGUCUUCAGCAGAUAUUAAACCUGAAUGAAAGCGGAAGGACUCUCAACCAGAAGGUAACGCUACAUUUUUUGUUUGCAACAAGUUCUAAUCCAGCCCCAGUGCAUGCAAUCUAUACUCCCUAACAUACCAGGAAAUCCUCUUUCCUCCCCUACUGCAAGUAAUCUUGCAAUAUCAUCUUCAUUUGGAGACCUCAGGUAUUCGUCCCCAAAGAUUUCACAAAUUUUGAUCACAAACUUCUUGCAAGCCUCUAGAUUAGUAGCUUCCGCCGACCGGAUGUACUCAUCGGCACCAUCAGCUGCUAUUCCAUAACUUAGCAUCCACAUUGCUGCAGUCAUCUUUUGCAAUGGAUGCAACCCAAGAAGUCCACAAGCACUCCUUUUUUGCGUAAAAUAACCAUCAUAAUCAUGUUCAAGUAUACUAUCGAAUAUGCGCUUAAACAAAGUAGUGGACAUCCUAAACCUGUGCAUAAAGAAGUAAAUGAGAUAGGGAGGUGAAAAUAGAAAAAAACAGAGAGUAAUGGAGUAAUUGCGAACCUUCGCCGAAAAAAGUUUUCGGGAUAGCGAGGAUUUUCUCUGAAGUAGUCAUUCCAGAGGAGAACAAAUCCGGCAUCUCUUGCUCGGUCAAUUGUCUGACGCCCAUGCUUGGAACCGCCAUGGCGUCGAGCGUUCCUCUUCUCUUCCUCCUCACGCUCUCCAAAUGCUGCAAGAAUGAGUUCGUCGUCAUCAGAUGAAGACGACGACGAAUUCAUGAGCAUAUCCAACGAGGAAAAUUCUCCAUUCAUCAUUUUUCUGUGUUGGACGGAGGAAUUCAAAAGAGAGAUGAGAGAAGGAAAAGCGAGGAGUGUUGGAUGAGAGGUGGGAGGGGUGGUAUAUAUGGACCUGGAAAUAUAGCCGUUGGAAAUAUAGCCGUUUGAAAUAUAGCCGUUUGAAAUAUUACUAAACUAUAUGAGAGAGAAUUUAGAUGUCCUAAAUAUAGAGGAACCACUGAAAAACUGAGAUCAUCUAAAAAGGAAUCUUUAUAGAUGGCCAUCUAUAUGGAGACAUAGAGGAUCUCAUUUAGAGGAACCACUAGAGAUGCUCUUAGUCUGCUAAACCUGCAGGAGUGCAUCAGGAACAGCCCACAUCCCUAGAAGCCAUUCGGUGGGGGAACGGUGCGGAUACAGGUGUGUGGUGCGCACCUGCGCAAAAAAUCCAGGCUCGGCAAGAUGGUGCAGUAGUCUAAUCUUUCUUUGUUCUUCUUUCCUGGCAGAAAUAAUUAGCUUCACGAAUUAGCAUGCAACGUAUCCAGGUGAGAUUUGUUGCCGCUGAUAAUUAAUUUUGCAUGAGGGAAGCCAACGCUAAGAUUCUGGUAGCUAGCAGCUUAUAUCUUGCAUCAGGCUGAACUUUGCAUCUCCUGUAAGAUGGCCUACCAAUAAACUCCUGCUAUAUUUCCUCUACCAUCUAGCUAGGCAAAAGUUUCUUUGUUAUACAUCAGAUUACAUGACUUACAGAUUAGAAAUAUGAUUGACUGACUAGGCGACGUUUAGUAUAAAUGGAGUCCUGUUAUUGUUCUAUUAUUUAUGCACACCUACGUUACAUAGAUCGCUUGAAGAAAUUGUAUGGAGUUUGUCCAUGUGGUGUUCUUCAAGGACACAAUUAGCUAAGCUAUUCAUUAAGCUAAGUUGGCAUUGUUUCUGUAACUAAGCUGAAUUAGCAUUGUUUCAUGAGAGAAUGUGCAGACAAUGGAGGAAUUAAUGAAAUUAGUCUGAGUCCAAUGGAGACUUUAUCAGUCGCUGCACCAUUCAGCCUUCCCUUUGUUUCUAAAGGGAGGCUUCUUAGCGUGGUGAGGUCUAGCAGUCACAGCAGGACGAGGCCAACAACAUCAUCACCUGGUAUUUGUUCCUCCCGGGCCAUUCCACUUCUCACGGCGGCGGCUGCUAGGUCCUUCAAUACCCUAGAGACCCGGAGCCGUGGCCAUAAGCCAAGGGUCUUGAGGAGGGACUGAUCUAGCUGCUGAAGAGGAGGUGACCCUGCCAGGAGGAGACGGUGAGCAAGGGUGCAAGGAGCAGUGCCACCUGGCGAGCAAUCACCAAGGCCGUGACGACAAUGAUGUGUCCCAUUCGCCACCGCGGCCGUUCCACACCACCGAUGUAGCGAUUGAGCUGAAGCAUGAACAUGCGGCGAACUUUCUCUAUGUCAGGUUGUCAGCACGGAACUAGAUCACUCGGUGUCACUUGGUGCCGACCGGUAGCGAAGGCCGCGACGAGGACGCGCCGCCAUGGAGCGUUUGAGAUAAAGCUGGAGCACGAACAACUGAAGGUCAUGCACAACGCUCUCACAAGCUGGUGCUACGUUCCUAUUUAUCGUUGUUGUCUUCUACAUAUUGUUGCUAUCCACUUUGCAACCUUAGGCAACAAUUUCUUUUAAUUACAAUGAUCUCUAGGGUUUGUCCUACGUAUUGCUAGCUAGUUCUUCUUUCGAAUUUAAUUAGAACCUUAGGAAUACAAGCAAAUUGAGUAUAACUAAGUUCUGGCAUGGCGUCCAUACAACACAUGUAUCCAAUUGUCAUCAA